AAAAAAUACUAACAAAUGUAAUUGCGCAUCUAGCAUGAGAGUAAUGUGUCUGUCUGGCGAUGUGUCUGUUAGGUCUACUGCUGCACCCACCACAUGUCAUGGCAGAGUUUGUAAAACAAUGGCCACCGAAUUGAUAGAAAUAAUCAUGAUAUAGUUAGUUCAGAAACGGUCAGAUACAGCAAAUGUCACUGAAAAAAAACAACAUUCUGCUAACGCAUCCAAAGACAUUUGAUCAAGUUCGCCGUUGAUAUGUCCUUUAGAUAUACAAUCUUGGCCUAAUUCCAAUACUUCCAAAGUAUACAGCAAAUAAGGGUGUUAUUGUCUCCAGAAAAGGUGAAUGAUGGGUGUUAAUCAGGCAGAGUUAUAAUGCUCCUUCACUUGCACACAGUUUUAUGACAGGUUGGAUUUAUAACGGGAAACAUGGAGUCCUGUUUCUGUGUCAACCUCUAAUGCACACUGUCUGCAUGCUACAACCCCCACACACACCGGUUGGUGGACACAGCUGUACCACAGAACGUUCCAUCUGCCCGUUCCUGUUUGGUACAGUGCUGAGUGAGGGAAGAGGAGGGCCUUUUUCUCUACUUCAUUUGGGAUAGCUGAUGAAGUGUGCAUAUGUGGAGUGGAGGUUCUGCUUGCUUAUGUGUGUGUGUUUUAUGAAAAUCUGUAUCGGAUUGAAAAUGAUGAAAAUCGAAGCUGUGUUUGGUGUCUUUUGUAUAUUCAUCAUGCCUGCACUGGAAACACAUGGCACUUCAUAACACACCAAGC
ensembl:lncRNA